GAACAGGUUCACAGGCUCCCGCGGGAAGGAAAUGUAUUGAUGCUGGCCAUGGCCGUUUCCUCAUAGGAGCCAUUGGGCUUCAACGUGUGCUGAGAGCUGCUCAGGGGCACUUGCUCUGGAGCCAAGGCAAACGACAACUUCCUCACUGAUUUUCGUUACCUCAGAGCCUUCCAGAACGUUCCCAUUAGGCAAGGCUCUAUGUUAAAUUAAACCCCACUCGCAGUAAUUUAAGGGGACUGCUACACGGCUGGGAUCUGAAGCAAGCACGAAAGUUGGACCCCCCAGUCAUCAGCCAAGUGAUGGAAAAGUUCUGUCCCAAAAGCCACCUGUCAGAUGCACAAGUCACACCACAUCACUGCUGUUGGAGAGCCUGGCAGCAACACUGGCUCGCUGUCCUGUGCUUCCUCUCUGUUUUAUGAAGUGCUUGACGCCUCCUCUGUGCACUGGACUCAGCAGUCACUUAAAGGGAGAGGAGCAGCCCUUGCUACCAAGGCUCACACUUCUCUCCUCUCGCACCUGGAGGAAUCAGGGAGCUCCUCAGACCCAUGGGCCACACCUGACUGGCAGAGCCAGUGUCGACGUGAAGAAGCACUGAACACAAUGCCCGUUGCAGCUCACACACUUCCCUUCCAUGGCAGGUGCUAUGGCCAGGGCCCUCAGAGGAUCCGGGGCACCUCGGGCAGUCACUGGCCGAUGACAGAAACAACUCUGCUUGUCCUUGAAGCUGUCUAAGCAAUGUGGUCACUGUUUGCUGGGGCACCUGAGGGGCAGCUGCUGAGGAGGGCUGAACAAUUGGGAGCCCCGCUUCUGCCUGGAGAGGCUGCUGGACCUUGGGAUGGUGAACACACACAGGGACCUGAGGACACAAGAGCUUUGAGCUCUGGGUGUGUUGCCAAAACAGUUCUAUCAGGCCAUUUGAGAGCUCACAUGGUCUUUACACAUCAUUAAAACUGAAUAAAAGUAACUUGUGGCAUAACUGCCGUGUUCAGCAGUUAGGUCCCUCUNNNNNNNNNNNNNNNNNNNNNNNNNNNNNNNNNNNUUUCCCUACCAGGGCCAUGAAGGCACUGCUUAGUUUCUUAAGCACUCUAUUCCUGUGGCAUCCUUGGCUUGGAGAGUGAGUACAGAAGGGACUGCUUCACUUAGCAUCGGCAUCAGUAACUGCCAGAUCCUGCCAAGUGUUGGAGUUUUGUUCCGAGAACACUCUGUGAUGAAUUUUGAUUCCUCUCGGUGGACUGCAAAAACAAGAGAGAGCCUAAUUCAAAAGCUGUUUAUAUUAGUUAUCGAUCAUUUUCUGUAAACCA
rnacentral:lncRNA from 1 species